GUUCUUGAUAUUUUUCAAUUUUAAGUAUUUUAGAAAUUAGUGCAAGCCUUGUUUUUAUUGAAAAUACAAAAAUGUAGUAGAAUAUGACUUUCGGGAAGAAAAUAAGCGAUUUGUAAUGUAGAUUAUGCUAUUCUUAUUAUUUUCUCAACAAAAUGCAGCUUGAAUAACAUUUUGAUUUCACGGAAACAUGUAAAAUAAUGUGAAACAACAUUAUUUAGUAUAUGAUGUAGAAUUCUUACUAAUUAAUAUCCAGUAGGAUUUGACAACAUUUAGGUUUUUUCCCUGUGCGUGAAACAAAUAUAUAGAAAAUUGACCAUCCCCAUUUCAUAAGCCAUACAUUGUGAACUCUCAAUCAAUGUCCCUUAUUUUGACACUAUUAAUGGCAUUUUUCUGAAAUAUUUAGGGCCUUAUCAUUACAAUGUUAAUUGUUCAUUCCUCCCCAAACUUGUAUGAUCAUUCAUUUAUAAUUUAAUAUACAAUGUAAUAGAAAAAACAAAAACUUAUUUAAAUAUUCUUACAUGGUCUCAGAUGCUAUUACUAUAUAUUUCAUCCCUAUUAGCUUUAUCCAAUAAUGAAAUUUCCAAAAUACAUAGCUUUUUGGUUUUGCAUUCUGUGUCUAUAUCAAAGUGUCAUUGAAAAUCAUGGAAAGACUACAUAUAUAUGUUAAAAAGAUCAUCUUUCUAGUCUUUCUUUUUAUCAGGAGUAUCAUACUACUGACUUUUAUUUCAAAACCAUUAUUACUUCCUUGUAAUAUUUAUAUUGAUGUUAUUAUAAUUUGAUUAUGUAGAGUUUAUAUUAGAAUUUUCUUUGUUUAAUGCUUAGCUUUACUAUAGGAAUAUGCUAUAACUAAUUAUAUUUAAAAAACUUGGACAAUCUUUGUAAAUGAUAACGCUCAAUGAAUUGAGUCACAUAUAUAAUGUAUAUUGUAGCUUUGUGUAUAUGUGUGUGUGUGUGCAUGAUUAUCACCUAUAACAUUUCACAAACAUGAUUACUUUUAUAUAGAUUUAUGAUAUUUCUGGCACCUAACAGUUUUAGGGUUUGCAUUCAAAUCCUUUACAUGACAUGAUAGUUAUUAAUUUUUUUUUUAUUUUAUCACUAUUGAGAAAAACAAAACAAAGUGCUUUUAGCACAACAUUCUAUAUUUUUAAAAAUUUUAUACUAUAAAAUAAGUUCCUAUCCAUGAACGUGUUAAGACAUCUAUCUAUGAAAUAUAAACUCAAAUAUUCAAGUUUCAAGUGAUUUGUUGUUGUUUAAUAAUACUUGUCUAGAAAAUUACUUAAGUGAUGCACGGUGCAUGAAUCUAGUUUCUGUUCUAAAAAUAUCAAUGAUGUCAUUGUUAAACAUAAUAUUUAAAAUUGCAGUUAUCUUCCUUUGUCUAUAAUUGUAGAGGAAUCUUCCAAUUUUAACUCAAUUUGGUGUUAACAUUAUAGUUCCCACUGCAAAAUGAAUGCAACCUGUAUCCUUUAGUGCUCACCAACACUAUAAUUUUGUACUGUUAUGGUACAUGUGUGUCAUCUAUUGCACAUCAAGGAAGAUAAAGUUAAGACAAAAGGAUUUUUAUGUUUAAGAAGAUUACAUUGAAAGGAUAAGGUUUAUCUUUUUAGAGAAAGAUAAAGAAAAAAAUAGAAAAAUGAGAAUGUGGAUAUGGAUAUAAAGCUAUUCUGUGCAUUUUCAAAAGACAAAAGAUUUUUUUAUACCCCUUUACCACCAUAUAAUUCUUUCUUUUCUCAUCAGUUGUUAUAUAUACUUUUAUAUAUAAAAAAAAUAUUGCUUAUUUGUUUAUUGGAUGGGAUAUUUGAACUCAUUUUAAGUAGCCUAAAGAUAUACAAGUUUUCAAUGGGAUACAAAUAUCAGAAUUCAUAGAAUCUUCUUUUUGGUGGGAUUUUAAUGGAAUUUUGUUCUUAUUAUAAAACUAGAUUCAAAUAAAUGAUAAAACAAAUAAGUGAGGUACUGAUAAGAAAAGUUUGAUACUGUAUAAUGCUGGGCAUUGAGCAAUUGUUAAAUUUCUUAGUGCUACUAGGUACAUAAUUUUGGUGCAAAUUAUGGAAAAUCCCUAGAUGUAUAAAUAGUUUGUUAUUAUUGAUUUACAUAUAUAUUUAAAAGGUUAUGAAAAUAAGAAUAUAAGUGCAAUUAUUGUUGUUGUAUAUUCCAAUUGAUUGGUAGGAUUGCUAUCAAUAGGUUUUACCUGAAAUUGUAUUAUUCUGUACAAAGGAUCACCCUUUUAAUUUUAUGUACAUAUACACAUAGCUCAUCUGUUUAUAAACUCUAUACUAAUAUGUUCUGUUAAAGAUGUUUGCUGCUCUUCUUUUUGACUUUUUGUCAUUAUUCAUGUAAAGCCUUUCAAAAUUUUGUCUGCUAGCCUCUACUUUUCUUUUCAUAAUUUUAUUACCUGUAUUUUAAAAAGCUUAUAAAAUCGUUUUUAUUUUUUCAUAGGAAAAAAGUGUCAAUGUUAAAUUGAUGAAAAGUCUAGAGAGAUUAAUUUUUUGCCAAAUUUUCAAUUUAUUAUAUCUCAUAAAAAAUGACAUAGAUAUUUUUUUCUGCUUUUAAGUCCCGUUAAUUAUAUACUAUCAAUGUUUAACAGUCUUGUAAAAUGUUUGUUAUUUUAAGACAGAGAAGCAAACAUCCUUAAAGUAUCAUUAGAAAUGCAGUAUAUUGAAUGAACUUACUGUAGACAGACUUAUACCCUGGAUAUUUCUUUGUUUUUACUCAUAUUAGGCCAGUGUAACCUAUAUUUGUGAAUACUGCUCAUAAUGAUUAUUAUUUUAUCAUGUCUUAAUCUUCUUUACUACAUUAUUUCUAAUCUGACUAACUUAGCCUAUCUGUUUUCACCGUAACUGGAAAAUAUAGUCAAAAUAUAUGCUUGGCCUUGUACAGAUUAGGUGUGAUAUAAUCGAAUUAUUUACCCAAUGACAUUUGCUUAGGUGAGACAUUUUGAUUAAAGUGAAAUUAUGAUAGAUUCAUUUGAGUUGAAGCUUGGUCGUUUGGGGUCGAACAACUGGUCUUUUUUUUUGAUAGCUCAUGACAAAAGUCAGUUUAAUCCUUGCAAGGAAAUUUGGGAAUGCUUUUCAUGACAUUACUUGAGAUUUAUUUCAAAUUGUUUGUUAGUUUCUGUAUUAUAAAUUUCACAUUUAUAUAAAUAGAUACUCUCAUACAUGUAUAUGUUAUGUAUAUGUUAUGUUGGUGAUGAUGAUGUGUUUAGAUUUUGUUCAUAUUCCUAAAUAUUUGAAGCCACAUUAUGGAUAUGAGUAAAUAUUUAGAUAAAAGCACAACGUCAUAAAAUUUUAUAAAUCCUUAUAAAUCCAUACAUAGUAUGUCAUUUUGUAUGACUUCAAUUACACAACCCUAAAAAGGGAAGGCACAUUUUAACAGCAGGUUACUUCAAUGUGAUCUAAUAUUAAUUCAUUCUUUCAAUAAAAUGUAUCGGAGAAAAAUGGCAACUCUUUAGUAAAGAUUAGAAUAUAUAGUUUGCAAGUUAGAUUGGACUAAUUGAGUACAAUAUAAUGUUAAUAGAUUUUGAUGCACAUGAAUUUUCAAAAGUAGACUACUUUCUUAACAUGAAUCAAGAAAAUAAAUGUUAGUAUAAAAGCAACAGUUGUUUUAUUUAUCUGUACGUAAAAAUUACUAAAAAUAAUAAUGUAACAGAUAAUUAAAAGCUUUUAAUAUAUGUUUAUUUAUUAUUUAAUAUGAAUUGCUUUUCUUUUAUUUAUACCUGUUUAUUGCUAACUUGAAUAUCCUUUUUACAAUCAGCUCAAAAUUUGUGUUCCUGUGUAAAAAUUUAGUAAACACAUUGAAUGUGCAAAUUUAGUUAUUAAACGAAGUAAAUAAAAGUUAUCUAGAAACUGAAGUGCAGUUUCAUAAACACCUAUUUUUUUUAUAUUACUGGUAAUCAUGAAAAUCAUGUUGAAUCAUGUCAGAUGAUUAAUUGAAUCAUUUUAAUAUAAUAUAUGUUUUGAUAUAUAAAAGACAAUUCUUUCUAAUCCAUUGCUCCAUUAUAUUAGUAUGGAUGUUUUUAUAGAAUGAUAGUGCUGGUGUAGAAUCUAUUAUGACUGACAGUAAUACAUUAUGUGUUACCUAAUCCUUCUAUCAGCAUUGUUAAAUAUACUUGUUGUUAUAUUAAAUGACUUCUCAAUACA
rnacentral:lncRNA from 1 species